rnacentral:rRNA from 1 species
GACGAACGCUGGCGGCGUGCUUAAAACAUGCAAGUCGAACGGACUUCUCAUGAAGCUUGCGAUUGAGAAGUUAGUGGCGGACGGGUGAGUAACGCGUGGGCAACCUGCCCCUGAGCCCGGGAUAACAGUUCGAAAGGACUGCUAAGACCGGAUAUACUUGCGGGGAAGCAUUUCUCUGUAAGGAAAGGGAACGCUCAGGGAUGGGGCCCGCGUCCCAUUAGCUAGUUGGUGAGGUAACGGCCCACCAAGGCGACGAUGGGUAGCCGGCCUGAGAGGGUGAACGGCCACACUGGGACUGAGACACGGCCCAGACUCCUACGGGAGGCAGCAGUUGGGAAUCUUCGGCAAUGGGCGCAAGCCUGACCGAGCAACGCCGCGUGAGUGAUGAAGGUUUUCGGAUUGUAAAGCUCUGUCUUCCGGGACGAUAAUGACGGUACCGGAGGAGGAAGCCACGGCUAACUACGUG